GUGGGGAAUAUUGGACAAUGGGCGGAAGCCUGAUCCAGCAACGCCGCGUGAGGGAUGACGGCCUUCGGGUUGUAAACCUCUUUCGGUGGGGACGAAGCGCAAGUGACGGUACCCACUAAAGAAGCACCGGCCAACUACGUGCCAGCAGCCGCGGUAAUACGUAGGGUGCGAGCGUUGUCCGGAAUUAUUGGGCGUAAAGGGCUCGUAGGCGGUUUGUCGCGUCGGGAGUGAAAACCAGGUGCUUAACACCUGGCUUGCUUUCGAUACGGGCAGACUAGAGGUAUUCAGGGGAGAACGGAAUUCCUGGUGUAGCGGUGAAAUGCGCAGAUAUCAGGAGGAACACCGGUGGCGAAGGCGGUUCUCUGGGAAUGACCUGACGCUGAGGAGCGAAAGUGUGGGGAGCGA
rnacentral:rRNA from 1 species